GCGCCCGUAGCUCAAUUGGAUAGAGUACCGGUCUACGGAACCGGGGGUUGCAGGUUCGAACCCUGCCGGGCGCGCCA
rnacentral:tRNA from 1 species